AGAGUUUGAUCCUGGCUCAGGAUGAACGCUAGCGGGAGGCCUAACACAUGCAAGCCGAGCGGUAUUUGUUCUUCGGAACAGAGAGAGCGGCGCACGGGUGCGGAACACGUGUGCAACCUGCCUUUAUCUGGGGGAUAGCCUUUCGAAAGGAAGAUUAAUACCCCAUAAUAUGUUGAAUGGCAUCAUUCGAUAUUGAAAACUCCGGUGGAUAGAGAUGGGCACGCGCAAGAUUAGAUAGUUGGUGAGGUAACGGCUCACCAAGUCUGCGAUCUUUAGGGGGCCUGAGAGGGUGAUCCCCCACACUGGUACUGAGACACGGACCAGACUCCUACGGGAGGCAGCAGUGAGGAAUAUUGGACAAUGGGUGAGAGCCUGAUCCAGCCAUCCCGCGUGAAGGACGACGGCCCUAUGGGUUGUAAACUUCUUUUGUAUAGGGAUAAACCUACUCUCGUGAGAGUAGCUGAAGGUACUAUACGAAUAAGCACCGGCUAACUCCGUGCCAGCAGCCGCGGUAAUACGGAGGGUGCAAGCGUUAUCCGGAUUUAUUGGGUUUAAAGGGUCCGUAGGCUGAUGUGUAAGUCAGUGGUGAAAUCUCACAGCUUAACUGUGAAACUGCCAUUGAUACUGCAUGUCUUGAGUGUUGUUGAAGUAGCUGGAAUAAGUAGUGUAGCGGUGAAAUGCAUAGAUAUUACUUAGAACACCAAUUGCGAAGGCAGGUUACUAAGCAACAACUGACGCUGAUGGACGAAAGCGUGGGGAGCGAACAGGAUUAGAUACCCUGGUAGUCCACGCCGUAAACGAUGCUAACUCGUUUUUGGGACGUAAGUUUCAGAGACUAAGCGAAAGUGAUAAGUUAGCCACCUGGGGAGUACGAACGCAAGUUUGAAACUCAAAGGAAUUGACGGGGGCCCGCACAAGCGGUGGAUUAUGUGGUUUAAUUCGAUGAUACGCGAGGAACCUUACCAAGGCUUAAAUGGGAAAUGACAGGUUUAGAAAUAGACUUUUCUUCGGACAUUUUUCAAGGUGCUGCAUGGUUGUCGUCAGCUCGUGCCGUGAGGUGUUAGGUUAAGUCCUGCAACGAGCGCAACCCCUGUCACUAGUUGCCAUCAUUAAGUUGGGGACUCUAGUGAGACUGCCUACGCAAGUAGAGAGGAAGGUGGGGAUGACGUCAAAUCAUCACGGCCCUUACGCCUUGGGCCACACACGUAAUACAAUGGCCGGUACAGAGGGCAGCUACACAGCGAUGUGAUGCAAAUCUCGAAAGCCGGUCUCAGUUCGGAUUGGAGUCUGCAACUCGACUCUAUGAAGCUGGAAUCGCUAGUAAUCGCGCAUCAGCCAUGGCGCGGUGAAUACGUUCCCGGGCCUUGUACACACCGCCCGUCAAGCCAUGGAAGUCUGGGGUACCUGAAGUCGGUGACCGUAACAGGAGCUGCCUAGGGUAAAACAGGUAACUAGGGCUAAGUCGUAACAAGGUAACC
rnacentral:rRNA from 1 species